UACGGGGGGGGCAAGCGUUGUUCGGAAUUACUGGGCGUAAAGGGCUCGUAGGCGGCCAACUAAGUCAGACGUGAAAUCCCCAGGCUCAACCUGGGAUCUGCAUUUGUGACUGCAAAGCUGGAGUACGGCAGAGGGGGAUGGAAUUCCGCGUGUAGCAGUGAAAUGCGUAGAUAUGCGGAGGAACACCGAUGGCGAAGGCAAUCCCCUGGGCCUGUACUGACGCUCAUGCACGAAAGCGUGGGGAGCAAACAGG
rnacentral:rRNA from 1 species